rnacentral:rRNA from 1 species
GACGAACGCUGGCGGCGUGCUUAACACAUGCAAGUCGAACGGAAAGGCCCUGCUUUUGUGGGGUGCUCGAGUGGCGAACGGGUGAGUAACACGUGAGUAACCUGCCCUUGACUUUGGGAUAACUUCAGGAAACUGGGGCUAAUACCGGAUAGGAGCUCCUGCUGCAUGGUGGGGGUUGGAAAGUUUCGGCGGUUGGGGAUGGACUCGCGGCUUAUCAGCUUGUUGGUGGGGUAGUGGCUUACCAAGGCUUUGACGGGUAGCCGGCCUGGGAGGGUGACCGGCCACAUUGGGACUGAGAUACGGCCCAGACUCCUACGGGAGGCAGAAGUGGGGAAUAUGGCACAAUGGGCGGAAGCCUGAUGCAGCAGCGCCGCGUGCGGGAUGACGGCCUUCGGGUUGUAAACCGCUUUCGCCUGUGACGAAGCGUGAGUGACGGUAAUGGGUAAAGAAGCACCGGCUAACUACGUG